UGGUUUCUUCUGAGGGCCUCUCUCCUUGGCUUGUAGAUGGCCAUCCUCUCCCUAAAUCUUCACCUGAUCUUCCCUCUGUGCUUGUCUGAAUCCUAAUCUUUUCUUAUAAGGAUACCAUUCAUAUUGAAUUAGGGUCCAACCAUAAAACCUAUCUCACCUUAAUUUGAGAAGUACUGUACUGGUGGCAAGAUAACUAUUUUACUAGAUUGCUUAUGAAUGUUAAUGGCUAUUAUUUCUAUUACAAGCUUUAAAAAUAAACACAAAAUAUCUCAAGUGAUUAGAAAAAUUUUAUUCAUCAUCCCAAACAGGAUUAUAUAUUACAAAUUCUGAUCAAAAUAAUAUUAAAGGUGUUUUCAGUAGUACCACAAACUAUCUGUACCUGAAGAUAAAGUCAAAUAGUAAACUAAAUGGCAACCCAUGCCAGUAUUCUUGCCUGGAGAAUCCCAUGGACAGAGGAGCCUGGCAGGCUACAGUCCAUGGGGUCACAAAGUGUUGGGCACGACUUAGCAACUAAACAAAGUAUACACUGAAAUUUACUCACAUUUAAAAUAUUACUUUGUUUAGAAAAAUUAACAUUUUUCUGGUUAUGAUGUAAGACACACAAAUAGCUACUUUGAUUUUUAUUUAACAAAUACAUGAACCAUUCCCCAUGCUCCGAAUAAGUCAUCAUGAGUCUAUAAAAUCUUGUAACUUUUUUUAAUGGUACUUGAGACAGUUUACAUUGUUUUAUAGAACAAAAUACAAUACUUCUAAUUCUCCUCAUACUGCCUUUCAACUCUACGGUGAGAGCUGUGCAUAAAAACAUAGCAGCUUGGGUAGCUCAUGGGUUGCAACAUAAUCUCCGCAUUGGGUUGGGCUGGGGGAUGGCAAGGAAGGCAUUCUAAGAUAUAAGUUCUGAGAAUAAAGAAACAGAGAUUUCCCUCAAGAAAAUUUAUACUUGUCUCCUUUAUAAGCACAGGUCCCAUACAAAAAGUAUUAUCACUGAAUUGCUCUGUCUGACUUAUAAGCUAUAAUUAAGAUUCCAGUCUGAUGUGGAGCAGCUUAAAAUAGCAUCACACACCCUGUUGAUUCUUGCCUAGUUGAAACAGAAACAUAAAUUUGAGGGAAGAAGGUGGAAAUGAUUAUUAUCAAUUCCCCUUUAAUAAUACUGAUAUAGGUAUCCAUGGGCACAGAAAAUUAAGUAAAGUAAGUAUUCCAAAUUAUCUCCCUCUUCAAAUCGCUUAUACCUGAUUUUGGCUGGGCAGAGAUUUACUAAUAAGGAGGUGAGGGUUUACUUCCAGGAAAAGCUAUAAUAGUGAGACAGAAGUUCAGGGCAGAGCAAGCACCAAAUAUAGGGCAGUACAGAUAGUGACCUGCUUGGGACCUAGGAACUAGGUAGCAUGUGGAGUAGCAGGAGGAGAGCCUAGAAGACAAGCGCUUGACCAGUAAAGUGAGAAGACCUGCUCAAUUUAGAGAAGGGAGCACCAUGGUACUAUCUCUGAAUUCAUAAACCAUACAAUUCAAUGCCUUGUUAUAAUCAAACAUCCUUUUUUUCCUAAGCAAAUAUAGUCAUGCAAUCUUCUGAGUAGGGACUGUGUCCUACCCCAGUGUCUCCCAUCCCAUUUGAAGAAUAAUUAGAAAAGGAUUUGCAAGUAAGAAACAGAACAUUUCUUGAGUAUUUACCUAAUUCUAGGUUGAUACUAGGUACACUUCAUUUAAACCUAACUUUAAAAAGUCAGAAAUAUCCAUCAUUUCACCAAUUCACUCAUAUGGAAACUGAAGCUAUGAGGUUCCCUACCAUAAAUCCCACAUAAUGAAGCUGGGACUCAAACGCCCGCAUAAUUUAAAACUUUGUGCCCUUUUAUGCUAAC
ensembl:lncRNA